rnacentral:lncRNA from 1 species
GAUACACCUGACUUGGUCUAGAUCACGUGCCUUCCUUUCCCUUGCUUUAGCCAACCGGAAUAACUUCUUAUCCCCACCUCUCUCCCCAAGUUCCUCAUACAUGCGACUGAACGCCGCGUCUUUAGCUUCCGUGACUGCCAUCUUAGCUUCUCUUCUCACCUCCUUGUAGAUCAACCUGUUCGCACUCCGCUCCUCCUCGCUUGUGCUCCCUGCCAACCUAGCGAACGCCGCCUUCUUCACCUCCACUUUUCCUUUGACUACCUCGUUCCACCAUCAAUCACCCUGAUGUCUGCCUGAAUAUCCCUUGGCUACCCCGAGCACGUCCCGUGCUACCCCCCUAACCAAGUUCGCCGCUACUGUCCACAUAGCGUCCGCUUCCCCAGAACUUCUCCAAGCUCCACCCUCAACUAACCUCCUUUCCAACUCCUGUGCUUUCUCCUUAGUCAAAGCACCCCAUCUAAUCCGCGGUUGUCCCCGAGCGCCCCUCCUAUUCCUCUUUACCUAGAGACCGACAUCCAUCACUAGGAGUCUAUGAAAAGUUGAAAGAGACUCUCCCGGAAUAAC